ensembl:lncRNA
AAACUCACUCUGUCUUGUCAUCACAUCACAUAACAUAAUAUCUGAGCUCAACAAUACUGCAAUAAUACUCUGGCAGAGUUGUUUUAGGCAUAAUCACAAUGUCAGAAGGGCCUAACAACCAACUAGCACCUACAACAACACAAAUGAUGGAUACUUCGUCUGCAGUGGCAUCAACUGCACCAUCAUCAUCACUACUGACAGACAAAGUUCGGGCACAACUUCUGGGUAUUGUGUUGGGAAUAGCUGCCAACCUCCUCGUCCUCCUCCUCGUCGUCGUUGUCGUCAUCAUCUUCUACACUGGCAGAUGCAGGUGCACUAAUCUAGGAAAUGCAGAAGCUUCCCCCAUCUAUGACGACAUAUUUAAUGGAUCAGUGCAUCAACACACAAAUGCAGGAGACUAUGAAACAUCUUGCAUCUAUGACGACAUAACGGGUGUAUCAGGAUAUCGACCUACAAGUGACAUUUAUGAAUCUCCCAUCUAUGAAGACGUAAGGGACAUAUCAGCAUGUCCAUCCUUAUAUGAAGUUAAAGAACAUGCCCCCUUCUAUGAUGACGUAGCCAAUGAAAUGGGGUGUCGACCUAAAAUCGGUGUGAAAAACUUUGCUGCUCCACCAUCUUUAUAUGCUACGACCAUUUUUGAAGAGGAACCUCUAACUUAUGAGUCCCAUCCAAAGUGAUCUGCAACCCAGAAGCUGAGGAUAAUAAAGAAGUCACCUUACAGCAAACCAAACAGCUUACAGUGGUACUCUGUAACAGAGCAGCAAGAAAACUGCCUGGUCCCUGGACAAGGACCCUGACAACCAUUAUAGAAAGACUGAAAAUGUCCAAGUCAGAACACAUUUUCAAAAAGAAAUCUCUGCAACCAGCCACUUUGGUAUUGGCUCUACAGGAUCUGCAUCAAUAAAUAAUCACUAGUUCACUGACCCAACAUCAGUGACACUGUAUUAAUACGAUUAUUCUAAUAAUAAAAAUGACGUAAACAUAAAGAUGGAAAAGUUGAAUUAAACAUAUUCAUCUCCAUGUUGAUGUUCUCUGUUGUAUCGGAACAGAAACACGAUCAUCUCUGAACCUCCGAGUGGGAAAGACAUGAAAAUGUAAAAUGUAAAAUGUAAAAUGUCGGAUCUACAGAAUCUUAAAAUGUGCUGUGUGCAUGUCAGGGACUAACUGAAGAUGUGUAUGUAAAUAAAAGUGCUUGUUUAUUCAGUUCAGUUUAUUCACUGCACAAU